GUGUUUACCUAUCUGCAAAAAUAUAUUGUCACCGCAAUAGCGUUGCCACCGUGCAAGAUGCAGUCACGAAACAUUACAGGUGUGUAGUUGAGAUCAAAAUGUAGGCUGAGUUCAAAGAU